GACAGAGGGGGCAAGCGUUGCUCGGAAUUACUGGGCGUAAAGCGCGUGUAGGUGGUCACGCAAGUCAGGUGUGAAAGCCCAGGGCUCAACCCUGGAAGUGCACAUGAUACUACGUGGCUGGAGUACUGAAGAGGAGAGCGGAAUUCCCGGUGUAGAGGUGAAAUUCGUAGAUAUCGGGAGGAACACCAGUGGCGAAGGCGGCUCUCUGGGCAGAUACUGACACUGAGACGCGAAAGCGUGGGUAGCAAACAGG
rnacentral:rRNA from 1 species